rnacentral:rRNA from 1 species
AAAGGAAUUGACGGGGGCCCGCACAAGCGGUGGAGCAUGUGGUUUAAUUCGAUGCAACGCGAAGAACCUUACCUACUCUUGACAUCCAGCGAAUCCUUUAGAGAUAGAGGAGUGCCUUCGGGAACGCUGAGACAGGUGCUGCAUGGCUGUCGUCAGCUCGUGUUGUGAAAUGUUGGGUUAAGUCCCGCAACGAGCGCAACCCUUAUCCUUUGUUGCCAGCACGUAAUGGUGGGAACUCAAAGGAGACUGCCGGUGAUAAACCGGAGGAAGGUGGGGAUGACGUCAAGUCAUCAUGGCCCUUACGAGUAGGGCUACACACGUGCUACAAUGGCAGAUACAAAGAGAAGCGACCUCGCGAGAGCAAGCGGAACUCAUAAAGUCUGUCGUAGUCCGGAUUGGAGUCUGCAACUCGACUCCAUGAAGUCGGAAUCGCUAGUAAUCGUAGAUCAGAAUGCUACGGUGAAUACGUUCCCGGGCCUUGUACACACCGCCCGU